rnacentral:rRNA from 1 species
AUACAAGAACGAAAGUCGGGGGGAUCGAAGACGAUCAGAUACCGUCGUAGUCCCGACCGUAAACGAUGCCGACCGAGGGCCCGGAGGAGUUACGUACGACCCUCCGGGCCCUCCCGCGAGAAAUCAGGAGUAUUCGGGUUCCGGGGGGAGUAUGGUCGCAAGGCCGAAACUUAAAGGAAUUGACGGAAGGGCACCACCAGGAGUGGAAUCUGCGGCUUAAUUUGACCCAACGCGGGAAAACUCACCAGGUCAGGACACGGUAAGGAUUGACGGACUGAAGGCUCUUUCUCGAUUCCGUGGAAAGUGGUGCAUGGCCGUUUUUGGUUGGUGGAUCGAUCCGUCUGGUUAAUUCCGUUAACGAACGAGACCUCGGCACUCCGAAUAGCGCGGCGGACGUCGCGGCCUCCGGGCCGUCUUCCGCACGAGCUUCUUAGAGGGACCGUCCCCCGCCGGGGAAGGAGGUGCGAGGCAACGACG